rnacentral:snoRNA from 1 species
AAGGCAAUAUUUUACAGAAUCAUUUGUAUAGUAUGUAUGCUAACUGAGUUACUACAAAACGGUGCUCACUCGAUACUGGAAUGACGAAGAACAACUUCAAUUCUUUAAUUUGAAGGCAAGAAAUACUCUGAAGUAUGCUCUAGUAUGCUUCUGUUUCUUUUGAUGAAUUGAAUAUAUCCUCCAGAUUCUCUGUUGAGGUAGAAUUGAAGUAUUCUGACCAGU